GAUGAACGCUGGCGGCGUGCCUAAUACAUGCAAGUCGAGCGGACAGAUGAGGAGUUUGCUCCUCUGUCGUUAGGGGCGCACGGGUGUGUAACACGUGGAUAACGUACUUAUCAUCCUGGGAUAACUUCGGGAAACCGGAGCUUAUAGCGGAGAAUAUAUUGAAGCGUGGGGUUCAAUAGUGAAAGACGGUUUUGCUGUAACUUAUAGAUGGAUCCGCGCUGGAUUAGCUAGUUGGUAAGGUAACGGCUUACCAAGGCAACGAUGCGUAGGCGACCUGAGAGGGUGGUCGGCCACACUGGAACUGGGACGCGGACCAGACUCCUACGAGAGGCAGCAGUAGGGAAUGGUCCGCAAUGGGCGAGAGCUUGACGGAGCGACGCCGAGUGAGUGAUGAAGGUCUUCGGAUCGUAAAACUCUGUUAUUAGGGAAGAACAAAUGUGUAAGUAAAUAUGCACGUCUUGACGGUACCUAAUCAGAAGGCCACGGCUAACUACGUG
rnacentral:rRNA from 1 species